rnacentral:tRNA from 2 species
GCCGGUGUAGCUCAGCUGGUAGAGCAGGGGUUUUGUAAACCUCAGGUCGUGGGUUCGACUCCCUCCGCCGGCU